AUUGAACGCUGGCGGUAUGCUUAACACAUGCAAGUCGAACGAUGAGAAAGAGCUUGCUCUUUCGAUUAGUGGCGGACGGGUGCGUAACGCGUAGGAAUCUACCUAUUAGUGGGGGACAACUUAGGGAAACUUAAGCUAAUACCGCAUACGCCCUACGGGGGAAAGAGGGGGAUCGCAAGACCUUUUGCUAAUAGAUGAGCCUGCGUAGGAUUAGCUAGUUGGUGGGGUAAAAGCUCACCAAGGCGACGAUCCUUAACUGGUUUGAGAGAAUGAUCAGUCACACUGGAACUGAGACACAGUCCAGACUCCUACGGGAGGCAGCAGUGGGGAAUAUUGGACAAUGGGCGAAAGCCUGAUCCAGCAAUACCGCGUGUGUGGAGAAGGCCUUAGGGUUGUAAAGCACUUUCAAUUGGAAGGAAAACCUCGAAGCUAAUACCUUCGAGUUUGACAUUACCUUUAGAAGAAGCACCGGCUAACUCCGUGCCAGCCGCCGCGGUAACAC
rnacentral:rRNA from 1 species